ACUGCCGUUUUCCCUCACCUAGGGAUUUCGGGAGGACAGUGUAUUUAAGGAGCCGUUGGCGGCUCCUCAGGGUGCAUUCCUUUUUCAGUCAUGGUAGACUGAUGAACUGUAACAUUCUCAUGCAGAUACUGUAAAUAAAUCCCAGAUUCCUCGUUCUUGAUGAGAACAAGUCUCUCCCUUCAACAACGUCCUCAGUGUGGAUAAGUUCGAUGACCGCAUGGGCCAGCUACCAUCUAUUUCAUGCCCGACUCCAACCAUUACACCUGUCACUGCACUCAUCGAUGCAGGAGCACAUCUUUCUAUUAUGAGUGCUGCCUUCCGACGACGACUGAAAAAGCACUUCACCCCAGCGUCGGCACGCGUUGGUCGCGUUGCAGAUGGCGGUACUGUGCCUAUCAUCAGCAUAUGUACGGCAUGUGUGAGCAUCGCCGGCUGCCACACUCCUGUCCUCUUCACCGUGAUUGCUCAUUGCCCCAUGACCUAAUUCUCGGACUCGAUUUUCUCUCUGCGCAUUCUGCUCUUAUUGACUGCUCUGCCAGUACCCUUUGCCUUGAGUUGCCUAUUCUCGUAGAACCUUCUAACGCACCCCAGUGCCGCUUACGCCCCACCUGCUUUAUUUGCCUGCCACCGAAGUCAACAGCCUAUAUUGAACGGUUGUGUUGCCCACCUGUUCCUGAUGGCGAGUACCUCAUCACUCCGCUGCCCAACAUUCCACUACAAUAUGACAUCACCGUGCCUCACAGCAUUCUGACUGUUACUGCUAACCGUACUCGCAUGCCUAUCUCUAACUUUGGAUUGGGAAAGCAAAUCCUACUGCAAGGUAUUUGCCUUGUCAACGUUGAUUGUCUCGGCGACCAUCACGUAGCAGCUUUAUCAACCGAUGGUUCUUCUGAGCUUAGCAGGCCCCUCGCACCAGCCUCGGGCACCGAUGCCAACAUAAAGAAAAUGGUUGCGGUGGACCUAUUCUCUGCGCAGGCUGACAACCUUUGCCAAGUAUUAUCGUCCUACCGAGAUAUUUUUUACUUCAAACGAUCGCCCUUUAGGCCAGACGCUCGCGGUCCAGCAUCGGAUUUCUACUGGCGAUGCUACGCCUAUUCACCGAUGACCGUAUCAAGUUUCUGCAUCGGAACACCGAGUAAUUCUAAGUGAAGUGAACAAAAUGCUAGAUAAAAACAUCAUUAAGCUUUCUUCAAGUCCCUGGCCGUCGCCUGUGGUUUUGGUUAAGAAGGACGGCACGUGGAGCUUCUGUGUGGACUACCGUCAUCUGAACAAAAUUACUAAGAAGGACGUCUACCCGCUCCCAAAUAUAGACGAUGCCCUUCACUGCCUUCACGGUUCCAGCUAUUUCUCUUCUGUUGAUCUUCGUUCUGGAUACUGGCAGAUUGCUGUUGGCGAUAUGGACAGAAAAAUAUGCUCAUUCAGCUUAGUAAGUUUAAAAAAGUAGGGUACGCUGUUCACUCCAUAGAGAAAUGUUUUGCGUUCCUGGUUCAUUGGCCUUGAGACGAAAUUGCCCUCGCUGUACAGAACUAUGACAUGGUUCAACUUCAAAAGUUCCUCCCAUGAGAAUGCAAAGAAGCUCUCCAGUAGGACGGGUGCACUUGUCCAAUGUGGCUAUCACUAAUAUUACCCACAGUCAAGAUCCUAUGGCACAUAUUUUUCUUUGAUUAACAAGGCCAACGUAAAAGCAAGAUGUGUGUUUUUACACCAUAGAUCAGCAGCACAUAAGCUCCACCUUAAAUGUGAUUGUUCACCGAAAUCUGCCUGCAUUUGGAAAGUUAGUGCAAACCUUAAAAUUAAAUUAGAUUGUGGGGUUUUACGUGCCAAAACCACUUUCUGAUUAUGAGGCAUGCCGUAGUGGAGGACUUUCGAAAUUUCGACCACCUGGGGUUCUUUAACGUGCACCUAAAUCUGAGUACACGGGUGUUUUCGCAUUUCGCCCCCAUCGAAAUGCGGCCGCCGUGGCCGGGAUUCGAUCCCACUACCUCGUGCUCAGCAGCUUAACACUAUAGCCACUGAGCAACCACAGCGGGUAGUGCGAACCUUCUGUGCUGUUGGCACCCAAUUUCAAAGUGUUUGCCCAGCCCUGUGCACUGUAACUUGAUGGUUCCAAAUUGCUGUUUUUUAGGCCCCCGCCCAACUGGUUUGUUGAAAUAGAUGUUAAAACGAAUGACAGCUACAAUUGCCUGGACACUUAUGAGAUUCCACUGUAAUUUCAGUGGUGUUCACGGCAACAACAGAUUUGGUGAAGUGAGGGACAGGCAGAGUGUUAAAGAGGACUGUGAAAUCCAUCAAACAGUUAUGUUGAGCUAACAAUGUGGACUGAUUGUAUAAGGCGAGCAAGCUGCCAAGAAUUGCUAAGCUUGAUGUGCAGACCUCAUUUCUUAGGCAAAUAAACUGUGCAAUGUCUUGUUUUAUUAUUGAUGACUGCUCUGCCAGUCUGCCUGAGUUGUCAUUUUUUGUAUUUAUCAUAAAGCAGGCACUUUCAUGUUUUUGUAGUUGUGUGACACAGAGUCAUUUGUUUCUUACAGCUGUCAUCUUCUCGGAAGCAGGCGCUCAUGCUUGGAGACCUGCAGAGCACGAACUGCAGCAUGUGUGGCGAGCCCGGGAGACAGCAAGAGCCACAGGAGUCCUGGACUAAGGGCGCCUCCCACACAAGCAGAAAGACACCCGCUUUUCCUUUAUUUUUUUUAAUAAAUGUUUUUCCUUCUC
rnacentral:lncRNA from 1 species